UACGUAGGGACCAAGCGUUGUCCGGAAUCAUUGGGCGUAAAGAGCGUGUAGGCGGCUUGUUAAGUCUUGCGUGAAAUCUCGGGGCUCAACCCCGAGCGGUCGUGAGAAACUGGCAGGCUAGAGUGCAGGAGAGGAGAGUGGAAUUCCUGGUGUAGCGGUGAAAUGCGCAGAUAUCAGGAAGAACACCCGUGGCUAAGGCGGCUCUCUAGUACGGUACUGACGCUGAGACGCGAAAGCGUGGGGAGCGAACAGG
rnacentral:rRNA from 1 species